rnacentral:tRNA from 1 species
UCCCUGGUGGACUAGUGGCUAGCAUGUGGUGCUCUCACCACCACAACCUGGGUUCAAGUCCUGGUCAAGGAA